rnacentral:sRNA from 1 species
CAACUUACUUCAAGUGUACAUAGACAGUUAUAUGUGACAAAUGUUAAAAAAAAGAAAAGAGAAUUAGUCUCUUGAAUGCACGAUUAUAGUUUCGAUGGAUAAAAAUAUUUCGCUUACAAGGCACGGCUUUUGUGAGAUAAUAGGAUAUCACUUUCAAGAUAAGCAUGACCAAAAACGUAGGUUGAUUAUAAAUGAACAUCAUUGCUGCAAAGCGAAGGACGAGUUUAUCAUGCAUCGCGAACAUAUUGGAUAUCUUGGUAAUACAAAAAAGUUAAUAAACAAAAUGAAGGAUUUGAUGCAAUUUAAGCUUUAUGGAACAAAAUACCAGAAAAAAAUGACAAGGAACGCGAGUUGACUAAUUACAUCAUUUAAGUGUAAGGCGAGUUUACUAUCGGGCGGAUACUCUGGAUCUCAGACAACUUUGACUUAAAUUAUGCAAAUUAAUAUGCAUACAGUAGCGUUUUCUAAUUCAUACAUUUUAUACCACAAAAGAUUGGAAGACACCUUUUUUAAAUGCAUUUGUAAAUAAUGAACGAAUUGUGUUAUACGUCUAUAUGAAAUAAUAAGGUGUUGUCUUUUAAAGAACGACUGCAAUACGUGGACCAUUUGCAUCUGUUUCUAACGGAAACGCCAAAGCCUUACAAUUAUCACAGAUUCGACUAACUCUAUUCCCCUGUUUUUAUAUGAGGACUUCUACAGAGGAGACCUCUAAUUGCAAAAGUGUUAUGAUGCCUAGUAUCGUAGCAGGGCUGGUUUUUUUGCUUCUACAUUGUAUCACGGACAGCACUGACCUUUAACCUCAGAAUUGAACAUAAUCAUGAACUAUAUUAAUGAAGGUUGCCUGUAUACAUGUAGUUAAAGACACAUGCAUUGCUGAACGUGUUCAUGAUCAUAUGAAGUACACUCUUCUCCGCCUUUAGCGUAUUUACUUCGGAAUCUCUCUACAUUUCUUGGUACAGUACUUCAUGGAGUAAAAAUUCCAACUGAUCUUUAUAAUUGAAAAAUGUGAAAUGGUGCUUCAAAAAAUAAAAAAAAGUACUAGUAUUAUGAGAGCGAGAUUAACAUAAGCCUUUUGGUGUGUUUUGCAAUCUCCUAUGUACUGUUAUUAUAAUAUGUAUGAUGUUAAUUACUAAAUAAAUAUUACUUAACGAGGCCAAGUACAGAACGAGUACGCACGCUUUCGCGCAGCAUUUCAUUUGUAUUGUGACGUCAUAUUUUUGGUUUGUUGACGCCAUGGCGUAAUAGUUUCAACUGCAGAUAUUCAGCAAAAUUUGUUGGAAAUAGCUCGAUUGAUGCGUAAAAUUGAUAUUAUAUUGUGGAAUAAACAUAAAUGUCUCGAAGUAUAAGCUAUAUUUGGGCUCGGUUCGAAAACGUGAAGAGAGUUCAGCAAGCCUAGCCCUCUGUCACGUGUUCUUUACCCGACUAAAUAUAUGUUAUAUAUUUAUUUAUUACUUAAAUGUGUCUGGAAGUUUUAAUAAUACUAUAAAGAUCACCAUUUCCGUCUUUGUCAAAUAAAAAAUAGCCAUUAUCUGGCAAACUGGGAAAUUGGGCAUACAAAAAACAACUUUGAUAAAACCCCUGGAUCAAACCAGAGGUAAAAGGUUUUUUUUAUUUGACCAUUUGAUGUCUUUAAGCAAUAACUUUAAUAUGUAGAACAGAAAAAGAAAUCCCUAGGGCAGAAGUUUAAAAAAAAUGUAAAAAACGUGCAAAAUUGAUACAUUUCAGGCAAAAUCCCAGAGGGUCCCAUGUUAAAGAUUAACAAACUUUGAGAUGACCCCUUGAACAAACGGUGUGGUAAAUGUCUGAUUGUUUUUCCUUAUAAUAAUAAUUAUAUCAGUAGAAAUUCAUUUAAAAAAUUUCAUUAAAAAAUCUAGGGCAGAACAAAUUAGACCCGGCCUCGUUAAACUAUAGGCAUUAUGAAAAAAAACAAUCAAGGUGAUACGCAUACAAAGUUCAACAAUUUACACACAAAGGACAACUUGUGAAAUUCAUUUGAUCAACAAAGAAUAUGCUUACCAGUCAACUGUUUUACCAUGCAAUUUUAACCCGCUUUAAUUGCUUUGUGAAUAUGUAUGCAGCAAAUUAAUUACUUUGAAAAGGAUAUCU